rnacentral:rRNA from 1 species
UACGUAGGAGACGAGCGUUGUCCGGAGUUACUGGGCGUAAAGGGCGCGCAGGCGGCCGCCCGCGUGUGUGGUGAAAGCUCCUGGCUUAACUAGGAGAGGUCCAUGCAGACGGGGUGGCUUGAGCGUCGGAGAGGGGCAUGGAAUUCCGGGUGGAGCGGUGAAAUGCGUAGAGAUCCGGAGGAACACCAAUGGCGAAGGCAGUGCCCUGGCCGACGGCUGACGCUCAGGCGCGAAAGCGUGGGGAGCAAACAGG